AUGGAAAAAAAUGAGAAAAGAAGUUGUAAUUGAUGAUAAUUUAAUUUUUCCAUCAACUGUUUUUUAGAAAUUAUUAGCAAAAAAUUGCAUCAAAUGGAAGUCGUCUCAUUAUUCCUGCUGCCCAAGGGUUGGCAUCGAACCUCAUUCAGGCGUAAAAAUAAAAUAAGCAUUUUUCUCGAUUUUGGUGAUGGUCCUGAGUCCUCCUGGCUCCUGAUAAGCUCGGUAAAGCGAUGAGAAAGAAGUUGUAACUUUCAAAGUUGGACUUUAUGAAAUUUGUUUACAAACGAUCAUCUCGACAUCUCGAAAUCAUUGACGGCAAAGAAGUUUCUGAAGUGAAAAAAAUCCUCCGUGAUUAAAAUAAAACAAAAAAUAG